UAAGGAAUCUUCCACAAUGGGGGCAACCCUGAUGGAGCGACGCCGCGUGGACGAAGAAGCUUCUCGGAGUGUAAAGUCCUUUUCCCUGCGAUGAGAGGGACAGUAGCAGGGGAAUAAGCCACGGCUAACUACGUGCCAGCAGCCGCGGUAAUACGUAGGUGGCGAGCGUUGUCCGGAAUUACUGGGUGUAAAGCGCGUGUAGGCGGGAGGCCAAGUCUGCGGUGAAAUCGCUCGGCUCAACUGGGCGGGGUCCGUGGAAACUGGUCACCUGGAGGACGGUAGAGGCGAGUGGAAUUCCCGGUGUAGUGGUGAAAUGCGUAGAGAUCGGGAGGAACACCAGUGGCGAAGGCGGCUCGCUGGGCCGGACCUGACGCUGAGACGCGAAGGUGUGGGGAGCGAACGG
rnacentral:rRNA from 1 species